rnacentral:rRNA from 1 species
GCUCAGGAUGAACGCGGGCGGCGUGCCUAAUACAUGCAAGUCGAGCGAACAGAUAAGGAGCUUGCUCCUUUGACGUAGCGGCGGACGGGUGAGUAACACGUGGAUAACCUACCUAUAAGACUGGGAUAACUUCGGGAAACCGGAGCUAAUACCGGAUAACAUAUUGAACCGCAUGGUUCAAUAGUGAAAGGCGGCUUUGCUGUCACUUAUAGAUGGAUCCGCGCCGUAUUAGCUAGUUGGUAAGGUAACGGCUUACCAAGGCAACGAUACGUAGCCGACCUGAGAGGGUGAUCGGCCACACUGGAACUGAGACACGGUCCAGACUCCUACGGGAGGCAGCAGUAGGGAAUCUUCCGCAAUGGGCGAAAGCCUGACGGAGCAACGCCGCGUGAGUGAUGAAGGUCUUCGGAUCGUAAAACUCUGUUAUCAGGGAAGAACAAAUGUGUAAGUAACUGUGCACAUCUUGACGGUACCUGAUCAGAAAGCCACGGCUAACUACGUGCCAGCAGCCGCGGUAAUACGUAGGUGGCAAGCGUUAUCCGGAAUUAUUGGGCGUAAAGCGCGCGUAGGCGGUUUUUUAAGUCUGAUGUGAAAGCCCACGGCUCAACCGUGGAGGGUCAUUGGAAACUGGAAAACUGAAAGCCCACGGCUCAACCGUGGAGGGUCAUUGGAAACUGGAAAACUUGAGUGCAGAAGAGGAAAGUGGCACUUCCAUGUGUAGCGGUGAAAUGCGCAGAGAUAUGGAGGAACACCAGUGGCGAGGGCGACUUUCUGGUCUGUAACUGACGCUGAUGUGCGAAAGCGUGGGGAUCAAACAGGAUUAGAUACCCUGGUAGUCCACGCGUAAACGAUGAGUGCUAAGUGUUAGGGGGUUUCCGCCCCUUAGUGCUGCAGCUAACGCAUUAAGCACUCCGCCUGGGGAGUACGACCGCAAGGUUGAAACUCAAAGGAAUUGACGGGGACCCGCACAAGCGGUGGAGCAUGUGGUUUAAUUCGAAGCAACGCGAAGAACCUUACCAAAUCUUGACAUCCUUUGACCGCUCUAGAGAUAGAGUCUUCCCCUUCGGGGGACAAAGUGACAGGUGGUGCAUGGUUGUCGUCAGCUCGUGUCGUGAGAUGUUGGGUUAAGUCCCGCAACGAGCGCAACCCUUAAGCUUAGUUGCCAUCAUUAAGUUGGGCACUCUAAGUUGACUGCCGGUGACAAACCGGAGGAAGGUGGGGAUGACGUCAAAUCAUCAUGCCCCUUAUGAUUUGGGCUACACACGUGCUACAAUGGACAAUACAAAGGGCAGCUAAACCGCGAGGUCAAGCAAAUCCCAUAAAGUUGUUCUCAGUUCGGAUUGUAGUCUGCAACUCGACUACAUGAAGCUGGAAUCGCUAGUAAUCGUAGAUCAGCAUGCUACGGUGAAUACGUUCCCGGGUCUUGUACACACCGCCCGUCACACCACGAGAGUUUGUAACACCCGAAGCCGGUGGAGUAACCAUUUAUGGAG